GAUUAACGCUGGCGGCGUGCAUAACACAUGCAAGUCGAACGAUGAAACUUAGUCGACUUCUUCGGAAAGACACUAAGCGGAUUAGUGGCGAACGGGUGAGUAACGCGUGAGUAACCUGCCUUACACAAGGGGAUAGCCUUUGGAAACGAAGAAUAAUACCCUAUAAAACCAUAAAAGCACAUGCUAGAAUGGUCAAAGUGAUAGCGGUGUAAGAUGGACUUGCGUCUGAUUAGCUAGUUGGUGAGAUAAAAGCUCACCAAGGCAACGAUCAGUAGCCGGCUUGAGAGAGUGUACGGCCACAUUGGGACUGAGACACGGCCCAGACUCCUACGGGAGGCAGCAGUGGGGAAUUUUGCACAAUGGGGGAAACCCUGAUGCAGCGACGCCGCGUGAUUUAGAAGGCCUUCGGGUUGUAAAAAUCUUUUGUAUAGGAAGAAAAUGACAGUACUAUACGAAUAAGGGCCGGCUAAUUACGUG
rnacentral:rRNA from 1 species